rnacentral:lncRNA from 11 species
AGAAGAUGCCUCAGCCGCCGCCUCCUCCUCCUCCUCCUCAGGAAGAAGGUGGUGGUGGUGGAGGGCCCCUGACCAGGCCAGGACGGAGAAGGAGGAGCAGUGAGGCUGCGGCCAAGGAGGGAGGGAGGGAGGAAGUGGGGACAGGCAGGACUGAAGCCUGCAACAGGCCUGGUCUGGGCCUUUGCCGCUACCGCUGUCCACCGCCGGCUGCCACUUCCUCUUUGUCCGGACAUAAAGAAGCAUGGCUGAUCUGUGACAGUCUGACUGAGUGA